CGUGCAGGUGGUUCGGUAAGUUGGAUGUGAAAGCUCCUGGCUCAACUGGGAGAGGUCGUUCAAAACUACCGGACUUGAGAGCAGUAGAGGGAGGUGGAAUUCCCGGUGUAGUGGUGAAAUGCGUAGAUAUCGGGAGGAACACCAGUGGCGAAAGCGGCCUCCUGGACUGUUUCUGACACUCAGACGCGAAAGCUAGGGUAGCAAACGGGAUUAGAGACCCCGGUAGUCCUAGCUGUAAACGAUGUGAACUUGGCGUCGGCGGGUUCAAAGCCGUCGGUGCCGAAGCCAACGCGAUAAGUUCACCGCCUGGGGACUACGGCCGCAAGGUUAAA
rnacentral:rRNA from 1 species